UACAGCAUUUAUAACUUUAUGCAAGAAAAUUGUGUUCUUCAAGUAAAAUUAGAAUAUAAAAUUUCAAUAUUUCUGAUAAAAAAUUUGGUUAAAUGAUUGGUGAAUAUGAAUUAAAGAUCCAAGUAAUAUUUAUUGCAUGUAUUUUUUAUGAAAUACUUGAUACAAGAGAGCUGUUGAAAGUCACAUUUUUUGUACUGAUCAACAGUUAAUCACUGAAUUACCAAUCAUUUUGAUUAACUACCAACAAAAUUGAAUUGAAAUAAUUACAAUUGGUUGGACAAACAACAAAAUACAAUUGGACAGUAACAAACAUUGACAAUAAACAAUUGUUGAAGGUUAAAGUGGUAAGCUUGUCCAGCUUGAUUGCACAGCUUAAUCAUACAAUCACGGAUAUAUGUUGAAAUGGUUAACCAGCAGCAACUUAAAUCAAAAGCAGUAAAAGAACCAAACAAUAAACCAGAAAAAACAACCAAGAAAACCAAAUCAGAGUGAUGAAAAAAAGUCUAGCCGUCUUCAAGAUGCUUGUUUAUUUACUUUGAUUGCGAUUAUAGCUGUUCAUCAUCUAUUUUGAUUAUUUGAUCGUCACAUCUUACAUGAAAAACAAAUCAUCAAAUAUUGAUUAUUUCAAGGGCAACAAAUAAUCUGAUUGAUUAAAUCAUUCUUUAUUCGCAUGCAAGCAUCAAAAGACCAAUAACCCAAACUGAUCCGAUCUUCACAGUUAUCAAUACAAAGCAAAUGAUUGGUAUUCUUGUCACUGUAUCGAUUGAAUAAUACAAAUCUAAUUGGCCUUCAAUCCGACCAGAUUAGCGUUUUGAAAGUCCGCCAUUAAGAGUCAAGUUGCUCAUCUUGAAGAAGAGUUGAAAUCCUGUGAUUUUAGCAUAACUUUACGGGAAAAACCAUUGACUUAAUCAGUCUCCAAUUUUAAUCAACAGUAAGAUAAUAACCAACCAAGGAGCGACCAUGUUAAAUGAACAUUCGAGACAAGCCAUGUUUCUCCAACUUUGACAAUUGGUUAAUGGAAGCUGUUAAUUUUACCAAUUAAAAGAAACUUGGCUGAAUAACUGAAAAUCUAUUCAUCAUUGAUACAAAUUGUAAACCAUAGAUUUAGCUUUUGAACAAAUUAAACGAAACCGUAAUUGUUAACCAGAUAAA